rnacentral:rRNA from 1 species
CGCCAGACUCCUACGGGAGGCAGCAGUGGGGAAUAUUGCACAAUGGGGGAAACCCUGAUGCAGCGACGCCGCGUGAGUGAAGAAGUAUUUCGGUAUGUAAAGCUCUAUCAGCAGGGAAGAAAAUGACGGUACCUGACUAAGAAGCCCCGGCUAACUACGUGCCAGCAGCCGCGGUAAUACGUAGGGGGCAAGCGUUAUCCGGAUUUACUGGGUGUAAAGGGAGCGUAGACGGCAUGGCAAGUCAGAUGUGAAAGCCCGGGGCUCAACCCCGGGACUGCAUUUGAAACUGUCAGGCUGGAGUGCAGGAGAGGUAAGUGGAAUUCCUAGUGUAGCGGUGAAAUGCGUAGAUAUUAGGAGGAACACCGGUGGCGAAGGCGGCUUACUGGACUGUAACUGACGUUGAGGCUCGAAAGCGUGGGGAGCAAACAGGAUUAGAUACCCUGGUACAG